rnacentral:rRNA from 2 species
UACGGGGGGGGCAAGCGUUGUUCGGAAUUACUGGGCGUAAAGGGCGCGUAGGCGGUUCGCUAAGUUGGAUGUGAAAACUCUGGGCUCAACCCAGAGCCUGCAUCCAAAACUGGCGGGCUAGAGUUCUGGAGGGGGUAGCGGAAUUCCUGGUGUAGCGGUGAAAUGCGUAGAUAUCAGGAGGAACACCGGUGGCGAAGGCGGCUACCUGGACAGAAACUGACGCUGAGGCGCGAAAGCUAGGGGAGCAAACAGG